GUAACACCCUCGAUGCGACUAUAUCUCCCACGUGUCGAGGCACGACUUAGAGGCAUAAUCGCAUUGAAGGCAUAUGUCGCAAGUCAGGCAAUCAUCACAAACAUCCCAUGUAAUAUAGAUAAAUAAAAGGGAUAACAUAGUUGGCUUACACUCGCCACGUCAAUCAAGUACAUAAAUAACAUACAUCAUCCAAACACUCAUGGCCCGACUACGGCGCCAAAAUGAAAGAUAACCCAACAAGCGACAUGGUUCCGAUCACCCCCAACUGGGCACCACUACUGAUCAUCAGGAAAAGAAACAUAGUAACACUGAGAGUCCUCGUCGAACUCCCACUUGAGCUCGUACGCGUCACCUGGAGCGGAAUCACCUGGACCUGCAUCUGGUGUAAUAGUAAUCUGUGAGCCAUAGGGACUCAGCAAUCUCGCACCCUCGCGAUCAAGACUAUUUAAGCUUAAUAGCUAGGGUAAGGUAAAUGUAUGUGGAGCUGCAGCAAGCGACUAGCAUAUAUGGUGGCUACCUUAUACGCAAACGAGAGCGAGAAGAGGAGGCAAAGCGUGAGCGAGAAACUAGAGAGCAACCUACGCAAACAUUACUCCAACACCGUGUCCACUUCCCGGACUCCGCCGAGAAGAGGCCAUCACGGUAACACACACGGUUGAUUCAUUUUAAUUAAGUUAAGGUUCAAGUUAUCUACAACCGGACAUUAACAAAUUCCCAUCUGCCCAUAACCGCAGGCACGGCUUUCGAAAAGUUCAAAUCCCUGCAGGGGAGUCCCAACUUAGCCCAUGACAAGCUCUCACGGUCAACGAAGGAAUAGACCUCCACCCGAGACAUUCCGAUCAGACUUGGUAUCCCGGUACAAUAAGACAUUUCGACAGGUUAAAACAAGACCAGCAACACCGCCCGAAUGUGCCGACAAAUCCCGAUAGGAGCUACACAUAUCUCGUUCUCAGGGCACACUCAGACUGUCCAAACUUCCGGUAGGCCAGCCCAGAGUUGCCCCUGGUAGCCACCGGUGGCUGACGAGGUGGACCAACGCUCAGAGGAGCACUGGCCCGAGGGGGUUUAAAUAAGAUGACCCUUGGGCUCCGGAAACCCAAGGGAAAAAAAGGCUAGGUGGCAAAUGGUAAAACUAAGGUUGGGCAUUGCUGGAAAAGCUUUAAUCAAGGCGAACUAUCAAGGGGUUCCCAUUAUAACCCAACCGCGUAAGGAACACAAAAUCCGGGAACAUAACACCGAUAUGACGGAAACUAGGGCGGCAAGAGUGGAACAAAACACUAGGCGAGAGGCCGAGCCUUCCACCCUUUACCAAGUAUAUAUAUGCAUUAAGAUAACAUGGCAAUAUAAUGAUAUCCCAACAAGUAAAUAAAUGUUCCAAUAAGGAACGGUCUCCAAUCUUCACCUGCAACUACCAACGCUAUAAGAGGGGCUGAGCAAAGCGGUAACAUAGCCAAUCAACGGUUUGCUAGGACAUGGUGGGUUAGAGGUUUGACAUGGCAAUUUGGGAGGCUGACAAGCAAAAGGUAGGCAUCAUAGCAUUGGCAUAGCAAAAGAGCGAGCAAACUAGCAUAGCAAAGAUAGUAGUGAUAUCGAGGGUAUGAUCAUCUUGCCUGCACAGUUGUCAGAGUUGACUGGAUCCUCAAAAGCAAAAUCAACGGGCUCCUCGUUAGCGAACUCGUCUCCCGGCUCUACCCAAACAAGACAAACAAGCAACAAGGACACAAUCAACCACGUGCAAGGAUCAAUCAAUAAGAUGCAAUGAUGAUAUGCUAUGCGGGAUGCGAUGCGGGAUGCAAAAUGCAAGAUAUGACAGGACAUGCAUGAACCUGGCAUCAACUUGGAAAUCCAAGCAUGCCACUGGAAAGAUGAGAUGAAAUCGCUUGAAAACGAUAUAAAGAACGCCGGAAUCGGAGUUACGGUUUGGAAAUGGCAAGUGAUUCAAAAUUGGCACCGGUCUGCGAUUUACAGCAAGUAGGCAUCUAAAUGCAAUGCGAUGAACAUGCUACAACACUCAAACAUGGCAACAAAAUACAUGGCAGGGAAGCAUUCAAGAUGCUUAACAAAAGUCUAGCUCUGAGCUACGGCCAAUUCAUCCAUUAGGAGGUUCAAACAAGCAUGGCAAAAACGCAAAUGGUAAACAGAUCUCAGACUUAGUGAAAUCAGCACUUGUCUGGAAUUUCAGAUCAUAUAGCCCUCUUCGGAGCACCAAAACAACAUGCUACAGGACCUGAUCAUGGCAAAGAAUGACAUGGCAUGGAGCUACUCAACAAGCUUAACAAAAGUCCCUUAGUGACCUUGAGCCAAAAGGGAUCACAAAAUAUACUAACAAGCACACGAACAUAGCAAAACAUAAUCAGUUUUCAGACUUGGUGAAAACUGGGACAUGCUGAAAUAUAACUCACGAAGGCAUGUUUACGAGCUCGAUGCACUCACUACGGUGCAAGUCAUGGCAAGACAAGCAUGCAUCCAUUAACAAGGCACAAAAUGCAAGCUAGACAUGGCAAGAACAAUGGCAUAACAUGCACGGAUCAACUACAAUAACAUCGGCAAAAUUGCAAACAAGUUGACAAUCUGCCCAGAUUCACAACGAAGCAAAAGUAGAGCUCGAUUGACUCAAGCUUGGGUGCUCCAUAAAUGCAAACAAAGACAUGGAUGGGUAGAGCACUACAAUAUUAACAAAACUCCUUUACUGAUCAUCCUCAAAAGAGGCAUGGAUCACUAGGAAACAACACGAACAUAAGGCACCAUGAACUAAACAAUCCCAGGACUUGGUGAAAAUACUAAGUCCCUGAAAACAGAUUUACCGAGUGCCUCACUUUGCAAGCUUGCACUAGUCACCACACACAUCAAAAAAAAUAAAUGGGUUGCACCUCUAGAAAGAUGACAAAACCCUUAACAAAACAUAUCUAGAUCCUCAGGUCAUAACAUGCACACAAUAAUCAUUGUAAAAAUGACAAAUGCCUAAGAUGGAGUAGCAAAUCUGACAAUUAACUCAAGUAGCCCUCUUCUAACAGCAUUUCGGGCAUCAAGAUGAUCUCAAAUGAAAAUGAUGCAAUGGGAUGAAAUGAUGUACUCUCCGAGGCGAACAUUUUGAUAUGCUAUAUGCAUGAAUCGGAGCUACGGAUGCGGAGUUAUAGCAGGUCAAAGAUCGCAAAAUAAUUAGGGUUCGGAGGAAAAAGUCAACCCGAUUUGAAUCUAGAUCUGAGAUCUGCACGGGAACCGAGGAUGGCCGGGGAGCUCGCCGGAGUUCGUCGCCGGACUUGGCGAGGCACGCCGGCCGGAGGAGAGGAGGACGCCGGGGCGGCGUGGUGCGGUGGCAGCGGAGGGUCUCGGCGGCGCGGGGCGACGGGGAGGGCCGGAGNNNNNNNNNNNNNNNNNNNNNNNNNNNNNNNNNNNNNNNNNNNNNNNNNNNNNNNNNNNNNNNNNNNNNNNNNNNNNNNNNNNNNNNNNNNNNNNNNNNNNNNNNNNNNNNNNNNNNNNNNNNNNNNNNNNNNNNNNNNNNNNNNNNNNNNNNNNNNNNNNNNNNNNNNNNNNNNNNNNNNNNNNNNNNNNNNNNNNNNNNNNNNNNNNNNNNNNNNNNNNNNNNNNNNNNNNNNNNNNNNNNNNNNNNNNNNNNNNNNNNNNNNNNNNNNNNNNNNNNNNNNNNNNNNNNNNNNNNNNNNNNNNNNNNNNNNNNNNNNNNNNNNNNNNNNNGGGCCCGACCUUGGCCUCCCGGGCCGGCGGCGGCGACGAACUGGGGCAGCGGCGGACCAGUGGGGAGGCGACACGUGGCGGCGGCGGGGGCAGGCCGGACGUGUCCGUCGGCGGAUAUUUGUCCGGCGCGGCGCGGAUCUGAGAUUUAGGGUUUCGGGGAGAGGGGAUCCAGGAUAUUUCGAGGGGGACCUAUUUAUAGGCAUAGAGGGAGCUAGGAGAGUCCAAAUGAGGUGCGGUUUUCGGCCACGCGAUCGUGAUCGAAUGCUCUAGAUGAUGGAUCAGAGUUUGGUGGGUUUUGGGCCAAAUUGGAGGGUUGUUGGGCUGCAACACACACGAGGCCUUUUCGGUCCCUCGGUUAACCGUUGGAGUAUCAAACGAAGUCCAAAUGAUACGAAACUUGACAGGCGGUCUACCGGUAGUAAACCACGGCCGCUUGGAAAGUCUCGGUCCAAUCCGGAAAUGUUUAAUCCCCACACACAAAAGAAAGCUAGAAUUGGCCACCGGAGGAGAACGAAGCGCCGGAAUACAAAACGGACAACGGGGAAAAUGCUCGAAUGCAUGAGAUGAACACGUAUACAAAUGCAAUGCACAUGAAGACAUGAUAUGAGAUGCAUGACAACGAUAACAACGUACGGAGACAAAGACCUGAACCCAAGGAAAUAAAUAUAACUUAACGCCGGAAACGGCAAGAGUUGGAGUACAAAUUGGGAAAGUUAUAUCCGAGGCGUUACAACACUCCACCACUACGAAAAGAUCUCGUCCCGAGAUCUAGGACUAAAAGAACGCCGGGUACUCAGAACGGAGGUGAUCCUCGCGUUCCCAGGUAGCUUCACGGUCGGAAUGGUGUGACCACUUGACUUUGAGGAACUUGAUCGACUUGUUGCGAGUCUUGCAUUCAGUCUCUUCAAGGAUAGCAACGGGGUGCUCACGAUAGGAGAGAUCUUCUUGGAGCUCAAUGUCCUCGAAGUUGACGGUGCGGUCAGGCGUCUUGAAGCACUUACGAAGCUGAGAGACAUGAAACACAUCAUGAACAUUUGCAAAGUUUGAAGGAAGCUCGAGUUGAUAGGCGAGGACGCCUCUCUUGCUGGCAAUCUUGAAAGGUCCCACGUAUCUAGGGGCAAGCUUCCCUUUGAUACCGAAGCGACGAGUACCUUUCAUAGGAGAGACGCGGAGGUAAACAUGAUCUCCGAUCUUGAAAGCCAAAUCAUGGUGCUUACUGUCAUAGUAACUCUUCUGGUGGGAUUGGGCUGCUUUGAGGUUAUCACGAAUGACUUUGCACAUUUCUUCUGCCUCUGUGAUUAAGUCAUUUCCCAAAAGCUGACGUUCACCGGUUUCAGACCAAUUGAGAGGGGUACGACACUUCCUGCCAUACAGAAUUUCAAAAGGGGCCUUGCCCGAACUUGCUUGAAAACUGUUGUUGUAGGAGAAUUCAGCAUAAGGAAGACAAUCCUCCCACUUCAUGCUGAAGGAGAUCACACAAGCCUUGAGCAUAUCUUCAAGAAUCUGGUUGACACGCUCGACUUGACCGCUUGUUUGAGGAUGGAAAGCAGUGCUGAAACGGAUCUUGGUACCCAUGGCCUUCUGAAAAGAGUCCCAAAACUUGGAGGUAAAGAUGCUGCCACGGUCUGAAGAUAUCACUUGAGGGAUACCGUGCAGAGAGACAAUACGAGAGGUAUAGAGUUCCGCUAAUUGAGCUGCAGUGAUCGACUCUUUGAUAGGCAGAAAGUGAGCCACUUUGGUGAGUUUGUCGAUGACAACGAAUAUAGCAUCAUUGCCAUGCUUGGACUUUGGAAACCCAGUCACGAAGUCCAUUUCAAUGUGGUCAAACUUCCAUUCUGGAAUGGCAAGAGAUUGGAGGAGACCAGCUGGCCUUUGGUGUUCUGCCUUCACUCUUCUAUAGACAUCACAUACAUUCACGAAUUGAGCGAUCUCGCGCUUCAUUCGAGUCCACCAAUAAGCUUGCUUGAGGUCCUGAUACAUCUUCGUGCUCCCAGGGUGGAUGGAGAGGAGAGAAUUGUGAGCCUCGUUCAUGAUCUCUUUAUGAAGGUCACCUUUGGGUACAACAAUUCGAUCCUCGAAGAAGAGAGUAUCCUUAUCAUCAAGGCGGUAGCACUUGUACUUGGGUUGACUCUUGGCAAUCCCAAUCUUCACCUUUUUCACCAUAGCAUCAAGAAGCUGGGCUUGGCGAAUCUGGUCUUCCAAGGUAGGAGAGACUUGAAGGUUAGCGAGAAAACCUUGAGGAACAACUUGCAGGUUCAGUUUGCCGAAAGCUUCACAAAGCUCGGGUUGGUAAGGCUUAAGAAUCAGACCGUUGCAAUAAGCUUUCCUGCUCAAUGCGUCAGCAAUCACAUUGGCCUUGCCUGGAGUAUACUCAAUACUCGGAUUAUACUCUUGAAUCAUUUCGACCCAUCGAGUUUGCCUGAGGUUGAGAUUAGGCUGAGUGAAGAUGUACUUGAGACUCUUGUGAUCAGUGAAAAUGUCCACUUUUCUUCCCAAUAGAAGAUGUCUCCAAGUCAAAAGAGCAUGCACAACUGCCGCCAACUCGAGAUCAUGAGUGGGGUAGUUCUUCUCAUUAGGCUUCAACUGGCGAGAGGUAUAAGCAACAACUUUAUUCUCUUGCAUCAAUACUACGCCAAGACCUUGGAGAGAGGCAUCACAAAAGACCUCGUACAGCUUGGAUUCAUCAGGCGGAGUCAGAAUUGGAGCAGUGAUCAAUUUCUCUUUCAAAGUGUUGAAAGCAAUAUCACACUCUGGAGACCAAACGUACUUGACGUGCUUCUGAAGAAGAUUUGAGAGAGGCUUCGCGAUCUUAGAAAAGUUUUCAACGAAUCUUCGGCAAUAGCUUGCGAGACCGAGGAAACUGUGGAGUUGCUUCACGUUCCGAGGAGGUUCCCAAUUCACAAUUGCAGACACCUUCUCAGGAUUUACGGCAAUGCCCUUGGCAGAGAUGAUAUGACCAAGAUAAAGAACCUCAUCGAGCCAAAAUUCGCACUUGGAGAACUUGGCGUAGAACUGGUGUUCCCUCAGCUUAUCAAGAACCAAACGCAAGUGCUUGGCAUGAUCUUCCUUGUUCUUGGAGAAAACCAGAAUGUCAUCGAGAUAGACCAAAACGAAGUCAUUGGUGUAGGCGUUGAAGAUGAAGUUCAUCAUGCGAGAGAACGUCGGAGGAGCAUUGACGAGGCCAAAAGACAUGACAGUGUAUUCAUAUGAACCAAAGCUGGUUCUGAAAGCUGUCUUGGGAAUAUCUUGCUCACGGAUUCGAAUCUGAUGAUAACCCAUACGGAGAUCAAGCUUGGAGAAUACUUGGGCACCUUUGAGUUGUUCGAACAGCUCAUUGAUGUUGGGAAGUGGGUAUUUGUUCUUGAUGAUCUUCUUGUUCAAUGGACGGUAAUAAACUUAGAGUCGGUCCGAUCCAUCCUUCUUCUUCACAAAAAGAACACCACAACCCCACGAAGAAGAACUAGGCCGGAUGAGACGCAUUCUCUCUUGCUCAUCGAGUUGUUUCUUCAGCUCCUUCAACUCUUCAGGUCCGAGCUUGUAAGGACGUUUGCACACAGGUUCCGUACCGGGCUCAAGAUCAAUAACGAAUUCAACUGGCCGGUGCGGAGGCAUUCCUGGAAGCUCUUCUGGAAAGACGUCUUGAUAUUCACAAACGACUAGAAUUUGCGAGAUGGCAUCGAGUUCACCCUUCUCGUUGAGAGAAAACAGAAGGAUGGUAUUAUCCCGGGCGGCAAAGACAAUUACAUCCUCAGAUGAAUGAGUCAAUUGAAUCUGCCUGGCUGCGCAAUCAAGCUGAGCCUUGUGCUUAGAAAGCCAAUCCAUUCCGAGAAUAAGAUCAAUAUCUGAGUUACCAAGAACCAUUAGAGAUGCCAGAAACUUGAAAUCACCCAUCAUGAUAGAAAUAUCUGGAAUCUCGUGGUUAGCGAGCAAACAUUUACCAGGAGAGACCACUGCUAACAGACUAUGCAUAACUUGGGAAGUCAACUCAUGCUUAGAUGCAAAAGGCUUCGAGAUGAAACAAUGCGAUGCACCAGUAUCAAAAAGUACUUUUGCGGGAACAUUGUUAACAGGAAGGUUACCCAUGAUCACAUCUGAUGAGUCCUCUGCCUGAGCUGCAUUCAUCAAGUUGACCUUGGCGUGCUUGGGGUUAUGCUUGACCACAGCUGUACUUGCCGAUCGCACAGGAGGAGGAGGAAGACGCCUCUGGUUGAAACACUUGUUGGCAUAGUGACCCUUCUGUUGGCACUUGUUGCACGUGACCUCUAAAAGCGGGCGGUGGUACGAAGCACUCGAUCUUGGAGCUUGAGACGAAGUCUUGUUCUGAAAGCCAGGGUUGGGUGGGUGGGAAGAACCACUGCCACCUUUGCUCUUCUGCUGAUAUGGCUGACGGAAUGGAGGAGGAGGAAGCCAAUACUUCUGCUGCUUGGCCACUUGAGUAGAGGAAGAAGGCGUAGUGUCUCUGACUCGCUCCUUGGAAGCAUCACACCACAACUGAGCAGCCUCUUGCUUCAGUGCCAUGUUGUAGAACUCAUCGUAUCUCAACGGCUCAAAGAGGACAAGAGCGAGCUGAAUUUCUUCUCCGAGACCACCCCUGAACUGGUAUAUCAUGCUCUUCUCAUCAGGUACGUCCUGCUUGGCAAAGCGGGCAAGCUUCUGGAACAACUUGUUGUAGUCAUAGACAGACAAAGAGCCUUGCUUCAAGUUGCGGAAUUCUCACGCUUACUUUCAACCACACUUUGAGAGAUGUGAUGAGCUCGGAAAUCUCGGCGGAAAUCAUCCCAAGUGAUCAGACGUCCACCUCUGGAAUCCUUGUACUGCUGGAACCAUUCUGCAGCUUGAUCUUUGAGUUGGAAGGAAGCGAACUUGAUGAAAUCUUCAGGCCUGACGUUGCUGCACUCAAAAUGCUUACACAGAAUCCACAAGCCAAUCGUCAGCAUCGGAUGCCUCAACACAAUUGCUGAAUGUCUUUGGCCCAUUAGCAAGGAACUGGUUCAGUGUAGCGAAGUGGUUCUGAUUGUUGCCUUAACUCCCUUGACUGCCUUGAUUCGCUUGAUUGCGCUCUUGGAGGAUUUGCAUGAUCAACUGUGUGUUUGCAUUGGUUGCGGCCAUCACAGCUUGCCAUGCCUCCGGAGGAGGUGGAGGUGGUGGCGGAUCUGGAUUCGGAGUCGUGCGCGUUGGAGGAGCCAUCCUGAAGAGGUUGACCACCAUUAGCACAUUGAUAGACAAAAUAUAGAAGCUAAAUCCAACGGACUGAAAAUUGCAACAUAAAGUCUUCACAUCCGAACAAAAUGAACAAAUGCAUUCCUCUUGAAAUGGUCACAUAUCCAUAAAUUGCGAAGCCACGUAGAAUGAAGGUAGAUAAAUAAAUCAACAAGGUAUGGAUCAAGAACGAAUAAUCGGUAAGAAAUCCCAAUCUCAAACCAAUAUCCGUGGAAUAAGAACUAGAGCUACAAGAAUUCCCACCUAUGAAACUCCCGAACCUUUCCAGUUAUGCAAUCAGGUGUUGGGGAUACAGGGGAAGCAUAAUAUCUCACCCAAACUAGCAAUUCCUACAUCCAGUUGUAUCCAUCCUUCAACACAUAACCAAGAAACCUUCGGAAACCAUCUACCUCAACCUUCGAAAAGCAUCCGUUAUACAAGUUAUGGCGAUACUCCCGAACUCCCGCCCCUGUACUGGGUGGCGUCGAGGUUAUCUCACCAACGAACUACAUAAAAGAGAUUUUCAAUGUCGGCGAAAUAUCUCAGGUAUUCCAGAAUUUCAACAAUAAAAUUAUGAUGACAACACCUCAGAGCUCAACUCCCCGGGACACUUCCACUAAACCCCUGACAGGAGGCACCAAGACAAUGUUCUCAUCAUAAAACCAUCGGAACGAUUCCAAGAUACCCGCGUGAUCCUAAUUUUUUUUAGUGAAAUUUGAGAAGAGAAGAGUCAAAACUCUACGUUAGGAUGCCUUACCAGAGCAAUGAGGAAACUGGGAAGUAAAAAGAAUUCCUAAAAUCUCCGAUAUAUAAUUCCUAAUUGACUCAAAACAUUUUUCUAGACACAACUCGGCUGCUAAAAACGAUCAAGCAAUGGGGCUCCUAAGGUUGGGGAAGGCUCUGAUACCAACUUGUAACACCCUUGAUGCGACUAUAUCUCCCACGUGUCGAGGCACGACUUAGAGGCAUAAUCGCAUUGAAGGCAUAUGUCGCAAGUCAGGCAAUCAUCACAAACAUCCCAUGUAAUAUAGAUAAAUAAAAGGGAUAACAUAGUUGGCUUACACUCGCCACAUCAAUCAAGUACAUAAAUAACAUACAUCAUCCAAACACUCAUGGCCCGACUACGGCGCCAAAAUGAAAGAUAACCCAACAAGCGAC
rnacentral:lncRNA from 1 species